rnacentral:rRNA from 1 species
UACGGGGGGAGCAAGCGUUGUUCGGAUUUACUGGGCGUAAAGGGCGCGUAGGCGGUCGUGACAAGUCACUUGUGAAAUCUCUGGGCUUAACUCAGAACGGUCAACUGAUACUGUCGGGCUAGAGUGCAGAAGGGGCAACUGGAAUUCUCGGUGUAGCGGUGAAAUGCGUAGAUAUCGAGAGGAACACCUGCGGCGAAGGCGGGUUGCUGGGCUGACACUGACGCUGAGGCGCGAAAGCUAGGGGAGCGAACGGG